rnacentral:rRNA from 1 species
CCAAUAGCGUAUAUUAAAGUUGUUGCAGUUAAAAAGCUCGUAGUUGAACUUCGGGGUCUACCCAUUGGUCAGGCUUAAUUGUCUGUACUGGUGAGAUGGAUCUCUACCUUCUGAGGAACUUUCAUGCCAUUUAUUUGGUGUGAUGGGAAAUCAGGACUGUUACUUUGAAAAAAUUAGAGUGUUUAAAGCAGACUAUCGUC